GGGCGCAUGGGUUUCCAUCUACACACAUCGAAUCUUUGUUUCUGAACUCCCCAUAUUUUUUUUUUACACAAGUGAGUUGUCCUACAAUCCAAUUGUAUAACACUUAACAAUCACCAACAUGAGUUGUGGUGCAGUGGAUAGGGUUGCUUCACCCUUAAUCAGAGGUCGAGGAUUUGACCCUGGAUAUGAAGAAAACUCUGUUCGAAGCGCUGUCACCUUAAUGGACCCUGUAACGGGCGAUCCGGAUUAGUCGGGGC
rnacentral:lncRNA from 1 species